rnacentral:lncRNA from 1 species
GCGGCCCCGCCCACGUCAUGGCGCCUGAGGAGAACGCGGGUACCAAACUCUUGCUGCAGAGUUUCGAGCGCCGCUUCCUAGCGGCGCGCACACUGCGCUCCUUCCCCUGGCAGGUGGGCGGCGGGGCGAGCGGAGAGGCCUGCGGGGCUUGCGGAAGUCCAGGGGCAGACGGGAUGGGUCUCCCUGCUGAAACCCCCGGCGCUCCUGCCACCACGAGGCUGUCCACACGGAGCUUUUGGACGAGCUGUACGAGGCGCUGGCAGAGACCCUGAUGGCCAAGGAGUCCACCCAGGGCCACUGGAGCUAUUUGCUGCCCUCGGAAGGCUCGGUCACACUCUCCGAGCACAGCCAUCAUCUCCCACGGUACCACAGGCCUGGUCACAUGGGACGCUGCCCGCUACCUUGCAGAAUGGGCCAUCAAGAACCUGGCAGCCUUCACUAACAGGACUGUCCUAGAGCUUGGCAGUGGCGCCGGCCUUACAGGCCUGUCCAUCUGCAAGAUGUGCCACCCCCGGACAUACAUCUUCAGCGACUGUCACAGCCGGGUCCUCGAGCAGCUCCGAGGGAAUGUCCUUCUCAAUGGCCUCUCAUUAGAGGCAGACAUCACUGCCAACUUAGAUAGCCCCAGGGUGACAGUGGCCCAGCUGGACUGGGAUGUAGCGACGGUCCAUCAGCUCUCUGCCUUCCAGCCAGAUGUUGUCAUUACAGCAGACGUGCUGUAUUGCCCAGAAGCCAUCGUGUCCCUGGUCGGGGUCCUGCGGAGGCUGGCUGCCUGCUGGGAGCACCAGCGGGCUCCUGAGGUCUACAUGGCCUUUACCGUCCGCAACCCAGAGACGUGCCAGGUGUUCACCACCGAGCUAGGCUGGGCUGGGAUCAGAUGGGAAGCGGAAGCUCAUCAUGACCAGAAACUGUUUCCCUAUGGAGAGCACUUGGAGAUGGCAAUGCUGAACCUCACACUGUAGGACUCAUACACGACUCCAACGGGAUUGUUAGAAUCAAAUCACUCUCGUGGGAAGAAUUUUUAUAUGGGAAAGCGGAUAAAACUUUCAUUGGACUGGAAUGUUUGGAGAAUGUUAAAUUCCAAAUCAGGAACCACAAUCUGCCCUCUAAUAAGACAUCGGCUAUCUAAGCAUGUGGGUGCCCCCUUUCUGCCAGCAGUUCUGGUUCUUAAGAAAAUCACCAUAAAUCAGACAU